GAUUUCCACUACUCGUCUAGAGCCCAAAGAUAUUUUAACAUUCUCGGGGACGGCCCUGACUUGUAAUAUCUUUUACGGUUUCCAUAAUUCUGUGCGGUAUAAACUUCUCCUCAACAUUACUCAUGUUAAAACUAUGUGGUUUUAUGGUUUUAAGGGGAAGGUAGUGCGAGUCUUUGCCAAUGAUCAGAAGAAAAUUACGUGUGAUCAAGAAAUGCAACAGGAGAUAGACAAUUAUAUGUCAGCGGGUCAAGCAUCAUUUAAUGUUUUUGUGGUACAGUAUCUGUAAAUUAAUAACAUGAAAUUGAUAAUGAACACGUUAUUCGUAGUGUUUUGUGGCCCGAUUACUUGUGGAACAAGUUUCUUUGUGUUAUUUACUUUAACGCUAGAGGCUGUUAUUUUUGCAGUUGGACUCCGCUGACAGCUGGGAGCCAACAACAUUUUUUUUGACCCGGUCUAAAUACCAGAUAAUGAUCAAUCGCACCCAAGAAAUUUUCACGGACGAGAAAUAUACGAGGGAUUUGGAGAUCGAACUCCAUUCAGUGCUUGGUACAGAAAUUAUGUUGAUACGUCCUAAUGAACCUCUACUUUAUCUUAUGUUCCUUGAUGUUAG